rnacentral:rRNA from 1 species
CCCUUAGAUGUUCUGGGCCGCACGCGCGCUACACUGAUGCAUUCAACGAGCCUAUCCUUGACCGACAGGUCCGGGUAAUCUUUGAAUCUGCAUCGUGACGGGGAUAGAUUAUUGCAAUUCUUCAUCUUCAACGAGGAAUGCCUAGUAAACGCAAGUCAUCAGCUUGCAUUGAUUACGUCCCUGCCCUUUGUACACACCGCCCGUCGCUCCUACCGAUUGAAUGAUCCGAUGAAUACCAUGGAUUGAGAGUACGAAUGGGUUCGCUCAUUUCUGCUGCUCGAGAAGUGGAGUAAAUCUUAUCAUUUAGAGGAAGGAGAAGUCGUAACA